AAACGCCAAAAAAAAGGGAAACAAAUGCUGUUGUUAAAAGGGGGGAAGGAGGGAGAAUGUUGAUAUUUACGUCACGGGAAGAAAGUCCCCAGCUUUUUGGUUUAUGGUGUGUAGAGAGGAAGAAGAAGUGAAGAACAAAGGACGAGAAAAAGCUCCCUUUUUUCUUGAGCUCCGGUGAAAGGCGGGUGUGCCCUGUUGCUUUUUCCCUUGACAGGUUCGGUUUCCUUCAACUUUUUUCCUUCGUCGGAAUCAAACUCCGGUUUGUGUGGAUUACGAA
rnacentral:lncRNA from 1 species